UUUCUUCCUGGAAAAGAGACUCCAACUGUCUUUCACACAGUGCUUGAAACUCAUACCAUUAAUCACUCUUUGAGACUAAAGCUCUGAUAACCUGAGUGAAGAAUUGGUUACAAGGACAUUACAAUGCACCAUGCUACCUUCAGCCAUUUGUGCUUCUGCAUAAAUUGUUUUGACCAAUUAGCCAAUCAGUCACCAACAAGCCCAAAAGGAAUGAGAAUCUAAACAGAUUGUCACCAUUUGGUGGGUUUGAACACCAAGAGGAUAGAGCGUAGAGCAUUGUGGUCUGCUUUAAGGCUUCUGAGAGGCAACAGGGAGUCCUGAGAGAAGCUGAGGGCUUCGAGCAAUGAGGUUUGAGCCUACCUCCCUUCAUCAAAAAUGCAGCUAGAAAAGCUUGGAGGAGCAACCAGAGCGGGAGUUGGGAGGGUAACACUUUUACAUCAAAACAACACUAGCUUUGUCGGCUGUAAUAAAAGCAAAGCAUGUAAGUAGAAAUGAUAUUAAUCUGUCAUGCAUAUUACUUCUCAAGUGAUUCCUCAACAAUAGUGUUAAUCAAGCUUUGCCCUACUUUUUUCGGAAACCUGGUGAAGAAUAGCUUUGACAUUUAUCAGACAUAGGACACUAAGAAAAUUGCCGUAUGCAUAAAUAAAUUUAUGCCUUGAAAAUGUUUGUGCCAUGCUCUGGGAAUGGGGGUCAGGAACAAAUGAGAGGGUAGAGGUAGAAGGGAAAGGUCUGCAGAAUGUGGAGGUGAGAAGGAAAGAAGAAAAGGGUUGGGCAUGGAGGGAGGUAACAUCAGGGCUAAACCUAAUAGGCCUGCGGAGCCUCCAGAGAUUUAGGCAGUUAAGUUUCCUUUUUUUUUUCUGAUGUUCUCAUUUUCAUUUGAGUGGCUUUGGGCAAGUCUUUCUGAAUCUCAGAUGGUGCUAACACUUUCAUCCAACUGAAGAAUAAAUAAUAUGACAGGCUUGAAAGUGUUUUGCUAACUAUAAAGUGAUACACUAAUGUUAUCUAGAGCAAGGAAGAAAAAGUAGAGAGCAUCUAAUAACUUACAAUGCUAUUAUGGUAAAAAAAAAAAAAAAAAAAAAAAGUUUGUCCACAGGAUACACAAAGAUGAAUGAAUAAAAAGUGGUUCAUCAAUUAUCCCAACCUAGAAAGACUCAGCCAAGGAUGGGCAAAAUACUAAAUUCAUCUCUUAGCUAUAUAUGGAAUAGGUCAGGGAGAGGGUUUAUUUUACUGCUCUCCUUCCUAUAAAUGUGGGGUUCAGAAUUGAACAGCUGUUCCAUCAACCAUGACCCUAAAAAGCUGGGUAUGCUAGGAAUCUAGGAGAAGAGAUUCAAACGUAUUUUUGCUUGGAUAUAAAAAUGGGGAGGAAAAGCCACAGUGGUGACAUGUUAUUUUGCAUACCUCAGAAUUCCAGAGAAUCCUGUGAUCCCUAGCUUUUGAUUCUGUGCAGGCCCUCUGUGGUACUGGCUGUAUCAGCUGCUCUUAACCAUGAACCAGGGCAUCUUGGAGACGAGCUGCCAAGUGCCUGCUGAGUCUGUAGCAUGGAAAACAUGUCUGCAAUGUUAAUGGAGAGCUCUGGUUUCUGGGGCUGAGAGAUUUCAAUCACUGAUAUUGUCAGUGAGUGAGGGUGGCUGGGGCCAUGGUGUAUGCUUGUCUGGAAUAAAGAACAUCAGUUUUGAAAAAAAAAUCAAAAAACAAAACCAAAAACAACCUUGCUGAGUAGGUGCCAGGUCCGGUUGUGAGCCAUUAACAGGUGUGUAAGCGGACUGGAGCUGCGCCGACUUCCUCCCACACAGCAGGGAGCCCUCCUGCAGGGCCAGGCAGCUCACCGCAGCACCACUGCUCAGAAACAGGAGGUUAAUUAGCCCAGCACUUAAUGAUAGCGUCUGGAGGAACUGUUGAGAAAAUACUAAAAAAUAAAUGAGAUGGACUAACGAUGGAAGGAAGGCAUAGACAUGCUCUGAAAUGGCUGGUAGAAGAAAUAAUAUGGCUGAGACAAAUUGAGAAUGACUGAGCAGCUGAAGCCUGGCCCCAGUGCUGCUGAAGGGGCACCUUCUUAAUGAACAAGCAGUGCAGAGAUGCAGGAACUUAUGAAGCUUGGCAGCUAUGGUGGUGGUGAAGUGUGUGUGCCUAUGUGUGUGUGUGUUGGGGGUAGGGUAGAAUGGGAGACAGGGUUUCUUUUCAUUUUAAGGACUUUGGAAUCCAAGACUUCUAAGUCAAAGAAAUUAUUAUCUUCUAUCCCUAGGAUCAUUUCUAUUUACUUCCCAUUAAGCUUGGCACUUAUCAAAAAAUAAAUAUUUGUGGAAUAAAUGAGUGCAUUAAAAAAA
rnacentral:lncRNA from 1 species